AUAUAUAAUACUAAUCACAAGACAGGUUUGAUCAACCGUUGCUUGUUCAGUUCAUCAGUGAACCCACCAGGUGAAUAAAUCAGGGGUUCAUUUCAAGAUAGCAACAUGACCUAUAUGACCUGCAUGUAUCCCAACACUAACAUUUGAAUAGAUUGCCAGUGGGCUACACUCAACACACAGAUGGUCCUCCUAUACUGUCCCAGCAUGCAUUUCCAGGUAUAAAUGAGUCUCAGGUAUAAACGCAAGUGAAUGAAACCAUGCAAGGUACCCAGGGGCAGAAAUCCCAGGGGGUCAGGGGUCAGGGGUCAGGGCCAAAUCAUGGGGAUGUAAACGGGUGUGUUAAACCAGAUCAAUAAGUCACAUACUUUCUAUGUAAACAUCACAGAACAAUUUAAAAUAAUGUAUAAUAUGCAUUCUUGGCAUCUUUAACACCAAUUUGUAUCUACUGUGCUUAUAAAAAGCAUUCACCCCCUUUGAAAGUGUUCACCUUUUACUGUUUUACAACAUUAAAUCAACCAUAAUUCAAUUUGACUUUUAUGACACUGAUCCGCUCAUUUCAAAGUGAUCACAGAUUCCUACAAAGUAAUCUAAAUGUAUUAAAAACAUAAAACAUAAAAUAACUGAUUGCACAAGUAUCCCCCCCUUCAAGUCAGUAUUAAGUAGAUGCACCUUUGGCAGCCUUUACAGCUUUGUCUGUGUGUGUAGGUCUCCAUCAGCUGUGAGCCUGUGUGUGUGUGUGUGUGUGUGUAGGUCUCCAUCAGCUGUGAGCCUGUGUGUGUGUGUGUGUGUAGGUCUCCAUCAGCUGUGAGCCUGUGUGUGUGUGUGUGUGUGUGUGGGUCUCUAUCAGCUGUGAGCCUGUGUGUGUGUGUGUGUGUGUGGGUCUCUAUCAGCUGUGAGCCUGUGUGUGUGUGUGUGUGUGUG
ensembl:lncRNA